ACGAACGCUGGCGGCGUGGAUAAGACAUGCAAGUCGAACGAGAGAAUUGCUAGCUUGCUAAUAAUUCUCUAGUGGCGCACGGGUGAGUAACACGUGAGUAACCUGCCCCCGAGAGCGGGAUAGCCCUGGGAAACUGGGAUUAAUACCGCAUAGUAUCGAAAGAUUAAAGCAGCAAUGCGCUUGGGGAUGGGCUCGCGGCCUAUUAGUUAGUUGGUGAGGUAACGGCUCACCAAGGCGAUGACGGGUAGCCGGUCUGAGAGGAUGUCCGGCCACACUGGAACUGAGACACGGUCCAGACACCUACGGGUGGCAGCAGUCGAGAAUCAUUCACAAUGGGGGAAACCCUGAUGGUGCGACGCCGCGUGGGGGAAUGAAGGUCUUCGGAUUGUAAACCCCUGUCAUGUGGGAGCAAAUUAAAAAGAUAGUACCACAAGAGGAAGAGACGGCUAACUCUGUGCCAGCAGCCGCGGUAAUACAGAGGUCUCAAGCGUUGUUCGGAAUCACUGGGCAUAAAGCGUGCGUAGGCUGUUUCGUAAGUCGUGUGUGAAAGGCGCGGGCUCAACCCGCGGACGGCACAUGAUACUGCGAGACUAGAGUAAUGGAGGGGGAACCGGAAUUCUCGGUGUAGCAGUGAAAUGCGUAGAUAUCGAGAGGAACACUCGUGGCGAAGGCGGGUUCCUGGACAUUAACUGACGCUGAGGCACGAAGGCCAGGGGAGCGAAAGGGAUUAGAUACCCCUGUAGUCCUGGCAGUAAACGGUGCACGCUUGGUGUGCGGGGAAUCGACCCCCUGCGUGCCGGAGCUAACGCGUUAAGCGUGCCGCCUGGGGAGUACGGUCGCAAGAUUAAAACUCAAAGAAAUUGACGGGGACCCGCACAAGCGGUGGAGUAUGUGGCUUAAUUCGAUGCAACGCGAAGAACCUUACCUGGGCUUGACAUGUAAUGAACAACAUGUGAAAGCAUGCGACUCUUCGGAGGCGUUACACAGGUGCUGCAUGGCCGUCGUCAGCUCGUGUCGUGAGAUGUUUGGUUAAGUCCAGCAACGAGCGCAACCCCUGUUGCCAGUUACCAGCACGUGAAGGUGGGGACUCUGGCGAGACUGCCCAGAUCAACUGGGAGGAAGGUGGGGACGACGUCAGGUCAGUAUGGCCCUUAUGCCCAGGGCUGCACACGUACUACAAUGCCCAGUACAGAGGGGGCCGAAGCCGCGAGGCGGAGGAAAUCCUAAAAACUGGGCCCAGUUCGGACUGUAGGCUGCAACCCGCCUACACGAAGCCGGAAUCGCUAGUAAUGGCGCAUCAGCUACGGCGCCGUGAAUACGUUCCCGGGUCUUGUACACACCGCCCGUCACAUCAUGGAAGCCGGUCGCACCCGAAGUAUCUGAAGCCAACCGCAAGGAGGCAGGGUCCUAAGGUGAGACUGGUAACUGGGAUG
rnacentral:rRNA from 1 species